AGCCCGGCCCGCAGGAGGACGAGCGGCAGGAGGAGGAGGAGGAGGGGAGCGCCCAUGGCGCGGGGGCGCCGGGCGCCGGCGCUGCGCACUCGGCUGCACGGGCUGCGCCUCAUGUGCUCGGCGCGGGCGGCGCCGGCGCGCCGGGCGCUCUGGGUGCUCGCCUUCUGCACGGCGCUGGGGCUGCUGCUGGCCUGGUCCUCCGACCGCCUGCUGCACUGGCUCGCCUUCCCCUCGCACACCCGCGUGCGCACCGAGUGGAGCCGCCAGCUGCCCUUCCCCGCCGUCACGCUGUGCAACAACAACCCGCUGCGCUUCCCUCGCCUCUCCAAGGGCGACCUGUACUACGCGGGGCACUGGCUGGGGCUGCUGCUGCCCAACCGCACCGCGCGGCCGCUGCUCACCGAGCUGCUGCGCGCCGACGAGGCGCGGCUGCGCUGGUUCGCCAAACUGGCCGAUUUCCGCCUCUUUCUGCCGCCCCGCCACUACGAGGGCAUCAGCGCCGACUUCAUGGACCGCCUGGGCCACCAGCUGGAGGACAUGCUGCUGUCCUGCAAGUACCGCGGCGAGCUCUGCGGCCCGCACAACUUCUCCGCGGUGUUUACAAAAUAUGGGAAAUGCUACAUGUUUAACUCAGGAGAGGAGGGGCGGCCUCUCCUCACCACGGUGAAGGGGGGGACAGGGAACGGCCUGGAAAUCAUGCUGGACAUCCAGCAGGACGAGUAUCUGCCCAUCUGGGGAGAAACAGAGGAGACAACGUUCGAGGCCGGAGUCAAGGUGCAGAUCCACAGCCAGUCCGAGCCUCCCUUCGUGCAGGAGCUGGGAUUUGGGGUGGCCCCCGGAUUCCAGACCUUCGUGGCCACCCAGGAGCAAAGGCUGGCGUAUCUGCCCCCGCCGUGGGGCGAGUGCCGCUCCCCGGAGCUGGGCCUGGCGUUCUUCCCGGUGUACAGCGUGACAGCAUGCAGGAUCGACUGUGAGACACGCUACAUCGUGGAGAACUGCAACUGCAGGAUGGUGCACAUGCCAGGGGAUGCUCCCUUCUGCACCCCGGAGCAGUACAAGGAAUGCGCGGAGCCCGCGCUCAGUCUCCUGGCAGAGAAGGACAGCAAUUACUGCAUCUGCAGGACCCCCUGUAACCUCACCAGGUACAACAAGGAGCUCUCCAUGGUCAAGAUCCCCAGCAAGACCUCGGCCAAGUACCUGGAGAAGAAGUUCAACAAGUCGGAAAAAUACAUCUCAGAGAACAUUCUUGUGCUGGACAUUUUUUUUGAAGCACUCAACUAUGAGACCAUUGAGCAGAAGAAAGCCUAUGAAGUGGCAGCCUUACUUGGUGACAUUGGUGGCCAGAUGGGGCUGUUCAUCGGGGCCAGCAUCCUCACCAUCCUCGAGCUCUUCGAUUACCUGUACGAGCUGAUCAAGGAGAAGUUAUUGGACCUUCUUGGAAAAGAGGAAGAGGACGGGAGCCAUGAGGAGAACGUGAGCACCUGUGAUCCAGUGCCAAACCACUCGGAGAGCCUGAGCCACACUGUGACCGUGCCCCUGCAGGCCCCGCUGGGGACGCUGGAGGAAAUCGCCUGCUGACCCCUCCGCACCACAGUGCCCAUCCCGAGGAAGGAAAACUGCACAGGGAAAACAGGGACCCAGCUCAGUCCCUGGGUUUCAGUGCCAGAAGGAGCAUCCCAGAAUUCUCCAUUCCCAGCGCCGUAGGCUGAGAGUUUUACAAUAAAGAGAUCCCAAAGUCGGCGCUCUCGGAUUCUUCCCCCGGCCGCGUCCUCUGGGUGAGCUUGGGCUGAAUCCCGAGCUGUGCCCAAGGUGAGCAUCCCUGGAGAGGAGCCACAGGGAUCCCUAUGGAUCAUCCCAGCCCUGCUGU